rnacentral:rRNA from 1 species
CCUACGGGUGGCUGCAGUGGGGAAUAUUGGACAAUGGGGGGAACCCUGAUCCAGCCAUGCCGCGUGUGUGAAGAAGGCCCUCGGGUUGUAAAGCACUUUCAGUGAGGAAGAACGCCUGGUGGUUAAUACCCAUCAGGAAAGACAUCACUCACAGAAGAAGCACCGGCUAACUCCGUGCCAGCAGCCGCGGUAAUACGGAGGGUGCGAGCGUUAAUCGGAAUUACUGGGCGUAAAGCGCGCGUAGGUGGCUUGAUAAGCCGGUUGUGAAAGCCCCGGGCUCAACCUGGGAACGGCAUCCGGAACUGUCAAGCUAGAGUGCAGGAGAGGAAGGUAGAAUUCCCGGUGUAGCGGUGAAAUGCGUAGAGAUCGGGAGGAAUACCAGUGGCGAAGGCGGCCUUCUGGACUGACACUGACACUGAGGUGUGAAAGCGUGGGUAGCAAACAGGAUUAGAUACCCUAGUAGUC